rnacentral:rRNA from 1 species
UACGUAGGCAGCAAGCGUUGUUCGGAAUUACUGGGCGUAAAGGGCGCGCAGCCCCCCCUCUACGUCCCACCUGAAAUCCCUGGGCUCAACCCAGGAACUGCGUCCGAUACUGGAAGGCUUGAAUCCGGGAGAGGGAUGCGGAAUUCCAGGUGUAGCGGUGAAAUGCGUAGAUAUCUGGAGGAACACCGGUGGCGAAGGCGGCAUCCUGGACCGGUAUUGACGCUGAGGCGCGAAAGCCAGGGGAGCAAACGGG